GGGGAGAGAUAUCAGUCUAGCAGGGAGAGUCCAGGUGAUACCUGGUGUGUGGGGAGAGAUAUCAGUCUAGCAGGGAGAGUCCAGGUGAUACCUGUUGUGUGGGGAGAGAUAUCAGUCUAGCAGGGACAGUCCAGGUGAUACCUGUUGUGUGGGGAGAGUUAUUAGUCUAACUUAAUAAU